rnacentral:rRNA from 1 species
GUGUCAGCAGCCGCGGUAAGACAGAGGGGGCAAGCGUUGCUCGGAAUUACUGGGCGUAAAGGGCGCGUAGGCGGGAUGGCAAGUCGGUCGUGAAAUCCUUCGGCCCAACCGAAGAACGUCGAUCGAUACUGCUGUUCUAGAGGAUUGCAGAGGAGACUGGAAUUCCCGGUGUAGCGGUGAAAUGUGUAGAGAUCGGGAGGAACACCGGUGGCGAAGGCGGGUCUCUGGGCAAUUCCUGACGCUGAGGCGCGAAAGCGUGGGGAGCAAACGGGAUUAGAUACCCGUGUAGUCC